rnacentral:rRNA from 1 species
AGUGAACGCUGGCGGCGUGCUUAACACAUGCAAGUCGAACGCCCCGCAAGGGGAGCGGCAGACGGGUGAGUAACGCGUGGGAAUCUACCCAUCUCUACGGAACAACUCCGGGAAACGGGAGCUAAUACCGUAUACGUCCUUCGGGAGAAAGAUUUAUCGGAGAUGGAUGAGCCCGCGUUGGAUUAGCUAGUUGGUGGGGUAAUGGCCUACCAAGGCGACGAUCCAUAGCUGGUCUGAGAGGAUGAUCAGCCACACUGGGACUGAGACACGGCCCAGACUCCUACGGGAGGCAGCAGUGGGGAAUAUUGGACAAUGGGCGCAAGCCUGAUCCAGCCAUGCCGCGUGAGUGAUGAAGGCCCUAGGGUUGUAAAGCUCUUUCAACGGUGAAGAUAAUGACGGUAACCGUAGAAGAAGCCCCGGCUAACUUCGUGCCAGCCGCCGCAGUAA